rnacentral:rRNA from 1 species
CCAGACUCCUACGGGAGGCAGCAGUGGGGGAUAUUGCACAAUGGGGGGAACCCUGAUGCAGCGACGCCGCGUGGGUGAAGAAGCGCCUCGGCGCGUAAAGCCCUGUCAGCAGGGAAGAAAAUGACGGUACCUGAUUAAGAAGCCCCGGCUAACUACGUGCCAGCAGCCGCGGUAAUACGUAGGGGGCAAGCGUUAUCCGGAUUUACUGGGUGUAAAGGGAGCGUAGACGGUGAUGCAAGUCAGAAGUGAAAGCCCGGGGCUCAACUCCGGGACUGCUUUUGAAACUGUGUGACUGGAGUGCAGGAGAGGUAAGCGGAAUUCCUGGUGUAGCGGUGAAAUGCGUAGAUAUCAGGAGGAACACCAGUGGCGAAGGCGGCUUACUGGACUGUAACUGACGUUGAGGCUCGAAAGCGUGGGGAGCAAACAGGAUUAGAUACCCGAGUAA